rnacentral:rRNA from 1 species
GACGAACGCUGGCGGCGUGCUUAACACAUGCAAGUCGAACGGAAAGGCCCUGCUUGCCGGGUACUCGAGUGGCGAACGGGUGAGUAACACGUGGGUGAUCUGCCCUGCACUUCGGGAUAAGCUUGGGAAACUGGGUCUAAUACCGGAUAGGAGCCAUCUUUAGUGUGGUGGUUGGAAAGUUUUUUCGGUGUAGGAUGAGCUCGCGGCCUAUCAGCUUGUUGGUGGGGUAAUGGCCUACCAAGGCGGCGACGGGUAGCCGGCCUGAGAGGGUGUACGGCCACAUUGGGACUGAGAUACGGCCCAGACUCCUACGGGAGGCAGCAGUGGGGAAUAUUGCACAAUGGGCGCAAGCCUGAUGCAGCGACGCCGCGUGGGGGAUGAAGGCCUUCGGGUUGUAAACUCCUUUCGCUAGGGACGAAGCGUUUUUGUGACGGUACCUAGAUAAGAAGCACCGGCUAACUACGUG